GCUCUCGCCGGCCGGUGUCCCACCGGCGGGGCUGUCCGGGCCCCGCUGCUCGCGCAGGGGUCGGUGCCGCCGUGGGUCCCCGGGGCGGGCAGGGCUGCGGGCGCGGGAGGCGGCCUCGGAGCGCCGGAGCCGGGCGGGAGGUCGCGGCAGGAGAAGCCGCGGCCCGAGCGCUCCCGCCCGAGAGCGGCCCGGCGAGGCAGAGCGGCGGCCCUCGGCAGCGGGCGGCUCCGCCGAGCCGGCGGGUGCCCCCCGGCGCCCCGAGCCCACACGCAGCCCCCGCCGGCCGCUGCUCCCCGCUCCGGCGCGGCCUGCCUUUCCCUGAUGCAGCGCCCCUGCGGGUUUGCUGAGGGCUUCCGCGGUGAAGAACAGCCCGAGCUGGGUGCCUCCGGAGAGGGACCCCGAGCAGAGGAGCCCUGCGCGGUUAUCCCCGUGCAAUCCCCGUUCCCCUGCCCCCAGCUGAUGCUUCCAUCCCGCAGCGAUGCCUGGGGCUGGGGUCGCCUAGUUCCUCAUUGGAUCCUUUCUCUGUCUCCACGUGGGACGUUCCCUCUCUCACCUUGAUGGAUGCGGCUUCUGCUGACGGUUGUGGCUGUUCAUCGAACAUAUAUAAGUUUAUACAUGCUCCUCGUCCAGGUUAAGUGUCGGUGCCCCAUCCGGCCCAUCCACCUUGGUAAAGGCCGGUGAUAAAGUGUCCUUUGGGCAGGAGCGGUGACACGUCACGAUACCGACCCCAGUUCGUCCCUACUUACUGUCGCCCUCGUUACCCGAGCUUAGGUCGCCCUCGGCUGCUCCAGGGGGGUCCGCAUGCUGCCUUAUGCAGAGAGAGAGGAAAGGGCAGUUGGUUUAUCAACCAUCACACAACAUGCUUAGACUACAUCAAACAUUAAGAUCUUACAACGGUUCUUGCUUUACUGGCAAACGUAGGCAUAACGUCCACUGAAGAGAGCAGUGCUCGAUUCAAUAAUCGAAAUUCUCUCGUCGCGUAGUCGCUGGCUCUCAACCGUAACGGAGUGACAAGCUUUCUGUGGGGCUUGCCCCCAUAAACCUCUCAUCGGUGUUGCUGACCUCAUCCUUCACGAAGCUGGAAAUACCGUGGCCCUGGGAAACCACCUUGGUCCAGUUCUCACAUUCCCACUUCCUCCAGUUACAGGCCCUCGGGAAGGUGACGUCUGGGGCAGGUACCUCCCGUUCCGAGGCUGGUUGCUCACUGCCGGGCUCCCCGGAUGUCACCACCGCUCAGGUCCCAGAGAGGAGGACCUUUUCCCUUAUCCCCUCCUGCUGCAAUCCAUAGUUUUUCAAACUCUUUCUCAAGUCCCUCUUGUCAAGACACCGCACGGAUCAUUGCAUCCGAAGACCACGCAAUUCUGUGUAGCCUUCGGAGCUGCACGCCGGGGAUCCAUCCCGAGAGCCCGGUGCUACCCAGGCCUCCGUCCCGAGUGCUGGAACGUAGGGCGGCAUCGCACGCGCUUCCUGGGAGACGUAGCCGUUCCUUGGCAGUUGCUUGAAUUGCCAGGUCAAGGGUGUCUGGGUGCGUGGCUUUCCUGUCAGCUGGUCUGCCAGGAGACCGGUCAUGGGAGAGCAUCAGGGCUGCCUCAUCUGUCUGCGCUGCACCGGUUUGGGGCCUGCCUUUGUUGCAAAGAAUCGCCACAUUUGUCUCUAGGAGAAAUAGAACAUUAGAAUAUUGUGUGCUUUGAAACUCGUAACCAUAGAAACCUCACUAGGUAGUUACUGUUUUGCAUUAAGAAACUAAGAGAAACUGGAUGAAACAACGAAGAACCAAAUAAAGGAGUUUUGUUUGAA